rnacentral:rRNA from 1 species
GACGAACGCUGGCGGCGUGCUUAACACAUGCAAGUCGAACGGAAAGGCCCUGCUUUUGUGGGGUGCUCGAGUGGCGAACGGGUGAGUAACACGUGAGUAACCUGCCCUUGACUUUGGGAUAACUUCAGGAAACUGGGGCUAAUACCGGAUAGGAGCUCCUGCUGCAUGGUGGGGGUUGGAAAGUUUCGGCGGUUGGGGAUGGACUCGCGGCUUAUCAGCUUGUUGGUGGGGUAGUGGCUUACCAAGGCUUUGACGGGUAGCCGGCCUGAGAGGGUGACCGGCCACAUUGGGACUGAGAUACGGCCCAGACUCCUACGGGAGGCAGGAGUGGGGAAUAUUGCAAAAUGGGCGGAAGCAUGCUGCAGGAACGCCGCGUGCGGGAUGACGGCCUUCGGGUUGGAAACCGCUUUCGCCUGUGACGAAGCGUGAGGGACGGUAAUGGGUAAAGAAGCACCGGCUAACUACGU